rfam:Salmo salar isolate Sally breed double haploid chromosome ssa12, whole genome shotgun sequence.
AGACUGGGUAAUCUCUGCAGGCAACUGUGAUGUCUUAUGGUUUCUCACAUUGACCUGGAGAGGUUCUGCAGUCC